GCACGAGCAACCGGCAAGGCCCUUCAUGCUGGAUCAUCUCAUGAUGGAGGGUGGAUGGGCAAGAGAGGGCCAAGCUCACUCUGGUCCCAACAUUUUCACUAUGUAGUUGCCAGCAACUAUUAAGUUGUUGCUUUGGAUUGACUGAAAG
rnacentral:lncRNA from 1 species